rnacentral:rRNA from 1 species
UACGCAGGCAGCGAGCGUUGUUCGGAGUUACUGGGCGUAAAGGGUGUGUAGGCGGUUCUUUAAGUUUGGCGUGAAAUCUCCCGGCUCAACCGGGAGGGUGCGUCGAAUACUGAGGGACUAGAGUACGGGAGAGGAAAGUGGAAUUCCUGGUGUAGCGGUGAAAUGCGUAGAUAUCAGGAGGAACACCGGUGGUGUAGACGGCUUUCUGGACCGUAACUGACGCUGAGACACGAAAGCGUGGGUAGCAAACAGG